AGUCGAACGAUGAAGCUUUUAGCUUGCUAGAAGUGGAUUAGUGGCGCACGGGUGAGUAAGGUAUAGUUAAUCUGCCCUACACAAGAGGACAACAGUUGGAAACGACUGCUAAUACUCUAUACUCCUGCUUAACACAAGUUGAGUAGGGAAAGUUUUUCGGUGUAGGAUGAGACUAUAUAGUAUCAGCUAGUUGGUAAGGUAAUGGCUUACCAAGGCUAUGACGCUUAACUGGUCUGAGAGGAUGAUCAGUCACACUGGAACUGAGACACGGUCCAGACUCCUACGGGAGGCAGCAGUAGGGAAUAUUGCGCAAUGGGGGAAACCCUGACGCAGCAACGCCGCGUGGAGGAUGACACUUUUCGGAGCGUAAACUCCUUUUCUUAGGGAAGAAUUCUGACGGUACCUAAGGAAUAAGCACCGGCUAACUCCGUGCCAGCAGCCGCGGUAAUACGGAGGGUGCAAGCGUUACUCGGAAUCACUGGGCGUAAAGGGCGCGUAGGCGGAUUAUCAAGUCUCUUGUGAAAUCUAAUGGCUUAACCAUUAAACUGCUUGGGAAACUGAUAGUCUAGAGUGAGGGAGAGGCAGAUGGAAUUGGUGGUGUAGGGGUAAAAUCCGUAGAUAUCACCAAGAAUACCCAUUGCGAAGGCGAUCUGCUGGAACUCAACUGACGCUAAGGCGCGAAAGCGUGGGGAGCAAACAGGAUUAGAUACCCUGGUAGUCCACGCCCUAAACGAUGUACACUAGUUGUUGGGAUGCUAGUCAUCUCAGUAAUGCAGCUAACGCAUUAAGUGUACCGCCUGGGGAGUACGGUCGCAAGAUUAAAACUCAAAGGAAUAGACGGGGACCCGCACAAGCGGUGGAGCAUGUGGUUUAAUUCGAAGAUACGCGAAGAACCUUACCUGGGCUUGAUAUCCUAAGAACCUUAUAGAGAUAUGAGGGUGCUAGCUUGCUAGAACUUAGAGACAGGUGCUGCACGGCUGUCGUCAGCUCGUGUCGUGAGAUGUUGGGUUAAGUCCCGCAACGAGCGCAACCCACGUAUUUAGUUGCUAACGGUUCGGCCGAGCACUCUAAAUAGACUGCCUUCGUAAGGAGGAGGAAGGUGUGGACGACGUCAAGUCAUCAUGGCCCUUAUGCCCAGGGCGACACACGUGCUACAAUGGCAUAUACAAUGAGACGCAAUACCGCGAGGUGGAGCAAAUCUAUAAAAUAUGUCCCAGUUCGGAUUGUUCUCUGCAACUCGAGAGCAUGAAGCCGGAAUCGCUAGUAAUCGUAGAUCAGCCAUGCUACGNNNNNUACGUUCCCGGGUCUUGUACUCACACGCCCGUCACACCAUGGGAGUUGAUUUCACUCGAAGCCGGAAUACUAA
rnacentral:rRNA from 1 species